rfam:Pristionchus pacificus strain PS312 contig2407, whole genome shotgun sequence.
UCUUCAUUUCACGUGCUCUCUCACCGGUCAGAGAGGCGAGAGAGCACGUGAUAUGAAGAGA